rnacentral:rRNA from 1 species
AUUGAACGCUGGCGGCAGGCCUAACACAUGCAAGUCGAGCGGAUGAAGGGAGCUUGCUCCUGGAUUCAGCGGCGGACGGGUGAGUAAUGCCUAGGAAUCUGCCUGGUAGUGGGGGAUAACGUCCGGAAACGGGCGCUAAUACCGCAUGCGUCCUGAGGGAGAAAGUGGGGGAUCUUCGGACCUCACGCUAUCAGAUGAGCCUAGGUCGGAUUAGCUAGUUGGUGGGGUAAAGGCCUACCAAGGCGACGAUCCGUAACUGGUCUGAGAGGAUGAUCAGUCACACUGGAACUGAGACACGGUCCAGACUCCUACGGGCGGCCGCAGGGGGGAAUAUUGGACCAUGGGCGCAAGCCUGAUCCAGCCCUGCCGCGUCUGUGAAGAAGGUCUUCGGAUUGUUAAGCACUGUAAGUUGGGAGGAAGGGCAGUAAGUUAAGACCUUGCUGUUUUGACGUUACCAACAGAAUAAGCACCGGCUAACUUCGUG